UCGCCUGUUUUUCAAAAACAUCGCCUCUUGCUAAAUCGAAAAUAUAAGAGGUCCCGCCUGCCCUGUGACUAUAUGUUUAACGGCCGCGGUAUUUUGACCGUGCGAAGGUAGCGCAAUCACUUGUCUUUUAAAUGGGGACCUGUAUGAAUGGCACAACGAGGGCUUGACUGUCUCCUCUUUCAAGUCAAUGAAAUUGAUCUCCCCGUGCAGAAGCGGGGAUAAACUCAUAAGACGAGAAGACCCUAUGGAGCUUUAGACACUAAAGCAGGCCAGCAUUAAUACCCCAAAUAGGGGGCACGAAUAAACUGAAUUCUACCCUAAUGUCUUAGGUUGGGGCGACCGCGGAGCAACGAAAAACCCCCGCAAGGACUGAAUGUACUACAUUUAUAACCAAGAGCGACAGCUCUAAUUAACAGAUAUUUCUGACCAACAAGAUCCGGCAACGCCGAUCAAUGGACCAAGUUACCCUAGGGAUAACAGCGCAAUCUCCUCUUAGAGCCCAUAUCAACGAGGAGGUUUACGACCUCGAUGUUGGAUCAGGACAUCCUAAUGGUGCAGCCGCUAUUAAGGGUUCGUUUGUUCAACGAUUAAAGUCCUACGUGAUCUGAGUUCAGACCGG
rnacentral:rRNA from 1 species